ACUGGACAAGGAAUGUCACAGGCCGAGUGCUUGGAUUGGAUCUGUGAGCCUGAUUGUGGAGAGCUAAGGGAGGAAGACUGGUGUAGAAGGAAGGUCUGCUCCUGUGCCCACUACUUGGUCACUGAGUGAAUUCAGGUUUGGAAGUUCUGAGAGAAAACGAACCUGAAGAAUGUGAGAAAAAGGGUUUGUAGAUGUAGAGGUAUUUGUCACCUGAGAUGGGGUGAGGGAAAGAAAGCAGAGAGCAAGUUGACCUUUUAAACAUUAAAAUGAAUUUGAUCAAAGAACUGAGAAUGAAAGAAGGACGUGAGACUUAAGGGGGCAGAUAUACGACACUUGAAAAAAGAACGAAAAUGGACUAGGAAUAAAGGAAGAACCUCAUGGAUCACUUUGGUGUGGGCGAUGGUUCACCAAGAUUCUGGCUCAGGCAGCUGAUUUAUUAAUAGAAGUCUCCCCUCUGACUUUGGUGCUGUUCUGGACCUCAGAAAGGAUACUGCAGCUGGUCCAUGGCCUGCUGGUUGAUGGUUCCCAUGCUGUUGUACACAAAAGUGCUGCUCAGGAGGACUGCCAGGGCAAAGAUCCAGGAGUCGUUCUGGUUGUCGCCCUGAAAGUCAGAACACAUUUUUGCCAGGGAGAUAUUGUAUUACAUGGUACUUUCCACAUCAGCAGUGGUAAAAGUAUGCUCACUUGGAGUUUUAUCAGACUCAUGACCUAUAAAAGGAAUCCAAGUAAAAACAGAAAUGAUCGUAGGACUUGGACUUAGAAUACUUUUUUUUGAUUAGUGUUUCUGGUUUACACUGAUUCUACUAUGUCCUCCUAUGAUGAUUGGCAGAUAGCUGGGAUCACAGACAUGUGCUACUGUGCAUGGCCAGAUGAUGCAUUUGAGCAUACUUGAAUAUGUGUUAAGCCACUUAAAAAUUUGUUUGCAGAGCAUGAUUAAAUCUUGAUAUGAUUUUUCCAUUUGUAGUAGUAACAUAUAGUAAUUGCAUGUAAAUUUGUACAUAAUUGUGUGAGUAAAAACUUUGUCUUUUUAGUAGUAUUAUAAUAUGUUCUUAUUGUUGGUGUUUAUGGAGAAGUAAAUAAUAUAUUGUUGCAAAUGCUUUACCAUUUGGAUGCAAUAAAUCUUUGUGAAACUUA